GGGGAGUACGGUCGCAAGAUUAAAACUCAAAGGAAUUGACGGGGACCCGCACAAGCGGUGGAUGAUGUGGAUUAAUUCGAUGCAACGCGAAAAACCUUACCUACCCUUGACAUGUCUGGAAUGCCGAAGAGAUUUGGCAGUGCUCGCAAGAGAACCAGAACACAGGUGCUGCAUGGCUGUCGUCAGCUCGUGUCGUGAGAUGUUGGGUUAAGUCCCGCAACGAGCGCAACCCUUGUCAUUAGUUGCUACGCAAGAGCACUCUAAUGAGACUGCCGGUGACAAACCGGAGGAAGGUGGGGAUGACGUCAAGUCCUCAUGGCCCUUAUGGGUAGGGCUUCACACGUCAUACAAUGGUCGGGACAGAGGGUCGCCAACCCGCGAGGGGGAGCCAAUCUCAGAAACCCGAUCGUAGUCCGGAUCGCAGUCUGCAACUCGACUGCGUGAAGUCGGAAUCGCUAGUAAUCGCGGAUCAGAAUGUCGCGGUGAAUACGUUCCCGGGUCUUGUACACACCGCCCGUCACACCAUGGGAGUGGGUUUCACCAGAAGUAGGUAGCCUAACCGCAAGGAGGGCGCUUACCACGGUGGGAUUCAUGACUGGGGUGAAGUCGUAACAAGGUAACCG
rnacentral:rRNA from 1 species